AAGAAAAUCAACUGGUCGGAAAAAUAAAAGCAAGGAGGUAAAGGCACAGAAUGUUGUGGUAUUAGAGGAUUUAGGAGCUGAUUAUUUGGAGCAACUCUUGUGUUCAUCAUAGAGCCGUUGAUUCUUCUGGGUCAAUCAUGAAGAUUUCCAUAUUUCCCAAAUUUUUAUAUCUUCUUUCUUUUCUUGGUUCAAUUUUUCUUCUAAAAUUGAUUCGGCCAGGAAUCAUUUUUCCCUUAUUUAUUUAUUAAGGGAAGUUCAUAUCUCCGAAGGAGAAGGAAAUUUCUAAAACUAAUCUUGUAAGUUGUUUUGGUUUCUGAAAAUUACAGUCUGUGCCUUUGUUUCCCUGGGUUCCAGUGAUGAAAAUAGAUAGAUCAAAGAAUCAAAAUUUGGGUUUCUGUUCCUUACCUCUGACUUUCUGGGCAACCAAACAAUUGAAGCAAGAAAAUGAAAAAAACAGAGGCAAGGAAGGAGGACAUAACCGGCAGAGACGGGACAGUACAUGCGAGCAGUGCCGAGAGAGGCAGCAAAAGUGUUGUUACGGUAGGGAGGAGGCUGAGCGUUGAAGAUGACGAGAGGAGAGUUGCCGAUAGAUUCUUUAAGAUUAUGGAGUACCCACAUAAGAGCAUGGUAACUGCACUCAUUCUCGUCAAUGGCCACCAUUACCUUCUUGUGGACUUGAGGUCCUCCACCUUCCACUGCCAUUUCCAUCUGGGUUUUGUGUGGGGUUGCAAUACAAAAUCUAUAUAUUGAACUAACGCAAGCUCUGAUCUUUUUAAGUUUCAGCGAUAGGUUGGUGGUUGGGAAAUAAUCCCAGGUCAUAACAGUCAGUCAAAUCCAUAGAGGCUGAUUUGGAAUUCUAUGGGUGGGUUUUAGUUUAAAUCCGGUUUAGGUCUAUGAAGUUAGGUAAGGUUUACAAAAUUACAGACGGUGCAACUGCUUUGCUCUGCUAGUGAUGCUUAGAAGGUUGAAAUAGGGAAGGAUAAUGAGAAAUUGUCAUUAUUUAUUUAUUAACGUAUUUAAAUUGAUUAUUGGAACAUUUUUAUUAUUAUGAAAAUUAAAACUUACCAAGACUUUGACCACUCUUUUUUUUUAAUUAAUGAGAUUAUGAUUAGGAUGAUACCAAAUUAUACUUCUUUUCGAUAGGCCUUGAAAAUGCAUCAUUAAUUAAGAGUUUGUUUAAUAAUGAUUUUAAAAAAUAUUUUUAGUCUAAAAAAUAUUUAAAAAAAAAAAUUAAGUGUUUUAAAAAGUUUAAGAAACAUUUUAAAAAAUAUAAAAAAUCACUUCUAAUAUUAAAAAAUCACUUGAUGCAUAAUUCUCUUAAAAAAUGUUUAAAAAAGAAAAUCAUUGUCAAACACUUUUUAAGUGGUGUUUUAAACUUUGAUAGACACCAUUUAGUAUUUUCUUUAUGAUUAACUUCAUUUAUAUUUUAUUUUCGUUUCCAUUUUAUAAUACUACACUUGGAGAAACAAUGAGGGCUUUUGGAUUUGCUUAGGACUUUUGAAUGAUUCCUUUUGGUAAUAGUGGUAGUUGGUGUGUUAAGGGCCUUUAAGGGCCAUGCAAACAGGUAUUGACCAUUCUAGAGAGCAUGUUCAAACUUCAUUUUAAUACAAUUUAAAUCAUUAAUGGUAGGGAGAUAUGGUCUUGCCAUCCCAUCUAAUUGACAAAAUUGGGCACAAAAAUUAGGGUUCUAAAAUGGAUUUGAACGAUAUUUUAUUUUAUUUUAUUUUUUGAAAAAUUAUGUUAAAAAUGGAAAAAUUGAAAACAUUCAUUCAAAAUUUUUAUAUUUUUCUUAAGAAAAAUGAAAUUACUUUCAAAAAAUUGAAACCCGAAAAGAGAAUAAAAUCACAGAUACUCAUAAUAAAGAGAAUAUUAUAUAUGCAAUAGAAAUAGUAAAAUGAAUAAAAAAAUUAUCUUAUAUAUAUUUAAAAUAAAAUAUCAUCUUAAAAUAUAUGGUGUAAAUGAUUUAUUUAUUAAUUAAAUUAUGGAUUAUUAUAAACAAAUAUAUUUUUUUAAUAAAUAAUUUAUUAGAUUAAUAAUAAGUAUAUCCGUAGACUCAUAUUUUUCCAUGUGUCUCUAUUUAAACAGUGAAAUUGACUCUUUUGUGGAAAAAUGAUUUUUUUUUUGUUGUAGAAAAGUUGGAAUCGUUUAUUUUAGUUAUUUUAAAAUUUUAAAAAAAUAAAAUAAGAAGGAGAAUCCCAAAUUUGGGGGUCACGACAUCAAGUUGAGGGUGUAUUUUAUAGACUGACUGACCCUCAAAAGAAGUGGCUUGUGGAAGUGGAUGUUAGGACCAUUGUCUUGGUCAAGGGUAAGUAGACGAUCACAAUUUGACAACUGGCCCGGUUGGUCCAACUUUAGGCUAACUGUCUAGAUCAAUCAGCACAUGGAUGACACGAGCCACCUGAUAUGUAGACUUUCUUAUAUUUCUUUGACUACCCAAUCUUACACUAAAAUCACACAAUUAACCUAACUCUCACUUGAUUGGAUGAAUUAAGUAACGAGUUAGCACGUUUUCAGCAACCAUUUUCAAAAUAUAACUUUUUAAAGUAAUUAUCUUUUUAGAACAAGUCCGAUCUAAGACUUCAAGGCUAUGUUUGGUUACCGGAAAGUACAAAGGAAAGAAAAAAAAUGCUAAGGAAAAUGAUUUUCUUAUGUUUGGUUGUCCUAUGAAAAAUAUCAAAGAAAAUCAAAUAUAAUUAAAACUAAUUAAAAAAUUAUGUAUUUUUAAAUUAUUUAAUCUUUAUAUUGAUGAGUUAAAAUAAAUAAAAUGAGUUUGAAGUAACAAAAAAAAUAAUUUAUCAACUUUUAAUCUAUUUUUUUAUUUUCCUUCACUUUUUAUUUCCUUCUACUUUUCCUUUAUAUUUUCUUUCCCUCGUAUUUUCCUUCAAAUUUUCCGGGAACUAAACAUAGCCAUGUUUUUAACGUGGUUUUUUUUUAGAUGUUUUUAAAAAAUAAUUUUUAUUUAACAUUUAAUUUUCAAUUAUUCUUCAUUUUUGUGUAAAACAACUAUCAGAAAAUGACUAAAUUAUGUUAUCAAAAAAAUAUUCUUUUCUCAAGAAUGUUAUUUUUUUUUUGAAGAAGUUCUUAAAUAACUGUUUUUUCGUCAAAAAAUUAUUAAAAAUGUUUUUCAAGUUCAAAAGCUAGCAACAAUCUUUAAAGAUUUUUUGCCGAAUUGAUAUUAUUACUCUCACUAUCAUUCGAGCUCAUUUUGAUACGCACACUCUUAAAAUAGUUUUUUAAAACAUUUUUGUGUUCUUAAGAAAAAAAAAUCCAGAAAAAACAAGUUUAAUAAUCUUCUAAUAUUAAAAAAUAAAAAAUAGUUUUCUUAUUUUUAAAAAUAGAAAAUAUGAUAUUUUGAAAUAAUAUCUUUUAAUUAUUUUAAGUUGUUUUCAUUUAAAAUUUAUUUUUAAAAAUAAUUUUAUAAAUAUAAAGAAUGAUUAAAAUUAAAAUACUACAUCUAAAGGUUAUUUUUAAAACAUAUUUACAAAUAUAGAAAAUAUAUUAAAAAUAUUUCAAGUUACAAACAAACUUUUAUUUUGCAAAAUAUGAAAGAAGAGAUUUCAAAAACUCUUAUUAAAAAUUGUUUUUCAAAAUCAUUUUUUGAAACACAUAUUAAACAAAAUCUUAGAAUCUAUGUUGAUAAUUGUUUUCAAUAAUAGUUUUUUGUGUUAUAGGAAAAAAAAAUUAGAAAACAUAUUUGGUAAUCGGAAAACUGUUUUCUAUUUUCUAUUCUAAAAAAAUAGAAAAUAGAGUAUUUUCAAAUAACAUAUUUUAAUUGUUUUUAGUAGUUUUCACUUGUUUUUUUAGAGUUAUUUAAAAAAAUAAUUAUACAAACAUGUAUAAUGAUUAGAAAUAAAGUUUUAAACAUAAAAAUUAUUUUUAAAAAAUAUGUUAAAAACAUUUCAAAUUCUCAAAUAUAUUUUUAUUCUACAAAUCAACAAAAAACACAAAAAACUCGUUUGGUUGAGAGGGUUGUUUUUGUUUUCAUUGUUUCCCGUGUUCUCAAAAUGACACUGUUUAGAGAACAACAAAAUGUUGUUUUCCCCGUUUUUUUACUGUUUACAGAACAAAAUUAAACAAAAAAAAACCAUCUGUUCUCCGUGUUUUUUUUUUCUUCCCGUUCUCAUCUCUUCUCCAGCACAGUCCCAGUCUUGAUUCAAGGUUCGUGAAAUUUAAAUCCAAUGGCAUAAUAGCAAAGAGACCCCUAAAACGGAUCCAGAAAACACAGGGAGCAAAAGAAAAUCCAUUUUUUUUUGUUUUCCUUGGGGUUUUUGCUUGGAUUUUCUCGGAAAUCAAACGAGGAUGAAUUUUCCCGGAAAUCGAAUGGGGGAUGGAUUUUCUUGGGAAUCAAACGGGGGUUGCAAAAAAAAAAAUAAUAAUAAUAACAUGAUUAGAUUAGUACCUGCGAGGAUUGAGAGUGGCAGAGGAAAAUAGGGCCUUUUAGGGAUUCUCUCGGCUGGAGGGCAACUUCAGAAAAGGGCUUCUUGAUGCCCGAGAGAGAGAGAGAAGUGGGUGGCAUUUUUAAUUUUUGGUUUUAGUAGAGAUAAAAAAAAAAAUUAACAAAUCACGAGAACAAUUUUAUCUCAAUUUAAUAGAAUAUGCUAUAAUUUUUUAAUAAAGUUAAAGAUUAAAUAAAAAAAUAUUAAUAAAAAUAAUUUUAUUAUGUUUGAUUUAUUUUAAAAAAAUAUAAAAAAUAUUUUUAUUUUUAAAUUAAUAAAAUAAAUAAUUUUUUUAAUUUAAAUGAACUAUAUAUCUAAAAAUUAUUUAUAAAUUUAUAAUAUAAAAUUACUUGAAGAAAAUAUUUUAUUAAUUAGAAAAGAAAAAAAAAACAUCUUUCAAACGAAUUUUUUGUUUUAUUUGUUCUAAUUUUUUUUUUUUAUUAACUCAACCAAACAUGUUUUUUUGUUUUUGAGAACAAAAACUGUUUUUUAAAAUUCAAUUCCCAAACAUAAUUUUUUUUAAAAAAACACCAAAAACUGUUCUCAAAAACUAUUUUCCAGAACAGUUUUCAAAAACAGUAACCAAACAGGCCCUAAUUUUCAUUUUGAGAAUUAUGUUUAAAAACAGUUACCAAGACAUUAAUUUCUUUCCCUUUCAAAAGACUAGGCAAUGUCUCCAAACCCUAACAAAUCUUCAAUAAUCUUCCUACACCAUAAAUGUUGUAAUCAUUCAAUUCAUUUUCCCAUAUUUAGUUUUUUUUUUUUUUUUAAACAAGAAUAAUUUUAACAAGUCAGUCACCAAUUGGGGUGAUCAAAAGUGCUGAAAUAUGAGCAUCAUAGGACUAAACCCAUUGAUGUGGAAUCACUAUCAGGAGCCCAACACCUACCCAAAUGUUAAAUUAUGGAUUACUGAAGACUUAAUUUGUUGUUUAGUUCAUGUAGCCACAUUUUUUGUUUGAAUUUAACAUACAUAGCACUGACAUGAGGAUUUUGCAACAAUUUUCAGCUGUUUCCUAUUUGUAGUUCACUCAAAUGAUCUAUUAGAAAGUGUGAAGAUGCAUGAACUUACUCUAUUAAGGCUUAUUCAUGAGGGGUGAUUAUUAUAAUCUAGUGUUGUUUUCUUAUGCUACUUAAUCUUCUUUGAUAGUAUAAAAAGCAGGUAGGACAAGGGGCACUUUGGGAAACUUAAAAUUGGGUCGUCACUUUUCUGAUACCCUGUGUGGAGAGUCGAGACAAAAACUAUCGGUUUGUGUGGAUAUUAAAUUUGUGACUUUUCAAAUGUAUUCAUAUGUGUAUAUAAACUAGGCUGUACAAAUUUAAUUGUCAUUGUUUGGAGUUCCAUUUGAACCUUCUAGAAAAUUCAGAAAAGUUUUAAUUAUUAUUAAAAUAAGAAGACAUAGGAUAUGUUGAAAGUAGGAAAAUAUUUUUAAAUUUUAUACAAAUUGAUAAAUAAUUCAAAUUAUGAAAUUGGGUUUUACUUUUUUUGUUUUUUUUUUCCUUUUUACAUUUAUUUAUUUUUUAUAAUUAAACAAAAAAUAAGAAAAAAAGGAAAGCAAGGACAACACUAGGCACACAUCAAAACAAAUUUGAUAAGUGGCAAAAUAUGAUGUCCUCACUUGAGCAUUUAGCCCACAUUCCAAAAUCGAUAUGCUCUAAGGAAAUGACACAUGUCAUAAAUCUGAUCCACAAAUACCUUUUAAAUUUUUUUCAAAUAUUUUGAAAAAACAUUAAAAUAGUAUUAAAAAAAUAAAAUAUAAAUAUAAAUUAUAAAACUUGAAAAUAUAUACUCCACCUGGUCGGAUCCGUACCAUAACUUAUGUUUUAAUUUGGGAAAAUUAUGUUUAUAGGCUUGAGAAAUAUAUGAUUUUAGAAACCAUAUACUUAAAAUAUGAGAUCAACAUAAUAAUGAAAAAAAUAUUAUAUGUUUCAUACACUAUUUAUUAUUCAUAUUUAUAUUUUCGAAAUUACCCUUUAGGUGUCUUUGUCAGCAACCAUCACCCAUGUCCAUGUCAUUUGGAAAACGUAAGGAGCAAAAAAACAAACAAUUUUUUUGGUUUUCCUUGGGGGUUUUGUAUGAAUUUUCUCAAAAAUCAAAUGAGGAUGAAUUUUUUCGGAAAUCAAAUGGGGGAUGGAGACCCCUAGAACAAAUCCAAAAAACACAGGGGGGCAGAAAAAAUAUAAUUUUUUUGGUUUUUUUCUUAAGGGUUUUGUAUGGAUUUUCUCAUAAAUCAAACGAGGAUGAAUUUUCUAGGAUCCGUACCAUAACUUAUGUUUCAAUUUUAUAAUUGCACCAUAAAUUGUACGCCUAGUGUGCCCUCUAUUAUUGGACUCUUUUUCCUCAAUUUUUUUUCAUUAUUUUCUACAUCAUAAAUCAAAAUUACCCCGAUUCGUAUUUUAAUACCUAAUACCUAGAUGAAUGAAUGCAUGCAUCAUACAAGUCCCCAUCAAAUAUAAUAAUUAGGCCUAGCAGAUCUCCUAAAAACUAACGGAUAAGGAAAUCUACGCAAUUAUUUUAAAUAAUUUUAGCAAUAAUUAAUCAAGGCGGCGUCGCGGCUCACAUACUUUAUGUUUAUUUUAAUAUAUGAAUGGCUUCGACUUUAUCAUAGGAUACUUGUCAUUUUUUGGUACCGGUGACGGCGCCGGUGUCCGGUGAGGAGUUGAAUGGGACUGGGUUGAUUUGGAAGAAUAUGGCAUGGGACCCAAUUUAUAAAAGAAAAAUGGGAACAAGAAAUGACUAUGUGCUAUGAAUCUAGGGCAUCAUUCCAUGCCUUUGGAUAUGAUAUGGACCACCACCUCUCUUAUCCCACGAGGCAACUGCCUUUCUUAAUCGCCUGUCCAUUUAUAUUGAAUUAAUAUUUAUUUUCUUUCUUAGAAGAAUAGUCAAUUGUGGAUCGCAACAGUAACCGUUUUGGAGUAUUCACCUGUCUUAUUCUACUUAAUGUUAUUUUUCUGAAAAAAAUGCAUUUAUUUAAAUCACGACUGAAAUUAUUACUUGGGGAGGAAGGAAAAGGUUGAGACCUUGUGCUAAAAUUUGAUUGAAGAAAAAGUAGUAUGAUAGUCUCCAAAAAGAAUCUUGAUGUUUAUCCAAGUCUUGAUUUUAAUUCAUCAAUAUUUUUGGGAUGAUGCUAUUUAAAAAUCUUAAAAUGGUAUUUUUUUUCCUUCUAUUUUACUCAAAUAAUAUAUUUUUUCUUAUUUUACUAAAAGCUUAUAUACACAUUUUUCGUCAACUUAAAACCUUAUUUGGAAAAACUUUUUAUUUUUAACUUUAAUUAAAAUUGAAGUUAAAAUCAAAGUCAUAAAUUUUAAACAACGAUUGAUACGAUAUUAGUUGUAAAAUUUAAAAUUUAUAUAUUAAAUUUUUUUAAGUCAUAAGCUUCUUAAAUAAAAUAAAAGUUUUUGUUGAAUUUAUUUUUUUUUAUUUUUCAAAAAUGGAUCCAAGAAAGGAUUUAAAAAAUAAUUUAUAUUUUAUAUUUAGAUAUUAAUUAAUUCUUUGUAGAGAAGCAAUUGAUAAAGGUAUUGACUUAUGGCCAAGUAGUAACAGUUGUCUCACCCAAAUCUAAGAUUCCCCAAGAGUCAUUUUCUUUUGGAUUAUUUUUUUACCACCUUUUACCCAAGGGAGGUGAUAGCGGUCUCAAUCAAAUUUUAUUUUUUUGAAUUAUCCAUUCUUUUGGGAUGACAGAUGACUUGAGCAAAAUUCAAACCAAUUCUUCCAAGUUGUCAAGACUGAGAAAGCUUUCAAAAAAAAAAAAACUAACCCAAGACGAAGGGAGAUGUAUCUGGACCAUUUCCACGUCAUAAAGCGACAGAUGCGCCUCUGUCUUUUAGUGCUCUUGAGUCUUGUCGCUUCAGCCACAUCACCUCAAAUUAUUAUUAUGAUUAAUUUUGAUUUUAUGUUUCCUUGGAAAGAGUAGGGGGUUUCACUGAAGCUUCCCAACCAAUUUCACAGCUCCCCUCCCAUCAACUCCCUUCACAUCACCAUUCGUACCCACAAGAAAAUUCAUCCCACUUUUGUAAAAAUCAUUAAAAAAAUCAAAAGUAGUGUUCAGAAAGUUCAAGAAGAAUUUGAAAAUUAAGUAGCAUCAUAGCAUGCUCUAUGUUUUCAUUUUACUAGCAAUGAAAUGACUUUCAGUGUGUAUGCUUAGCAGUGGUGGAGCCACCAUAUGCCUGGACGGUGCCAGUGCUUUGCUCUGCUAGUGAUGCUUAGAAGGUUGAAAUAGGGAAGGAUAAUGAGAAAUUGUCAUUAUUUAUUUAUUGACGUAUUUAAAUUGAUUAUUGGAACAUUUUUAUUAUUAUGAAAAUUAAAACUCACCAAGACUUUGACCACUCUUUUUUUUUUUUUUUUUAAUUAAUGAGAUUAUGAUUAGGAUGAUACCAAAUUAUACUUCUUUUCGAUAGGCCUUGAAAAUGCAUCAUUAAUUAAGAGUUUGUUUAAUAAUGAUUUUAAAAAAUAUUUUUAGUCUAAAAAAUAUUUUAAAAAAAAAUUAAGUGUUUGAAAAAGUUUAAGAAACAUUUUGAAAAAUAUAAAAAAUCACUUAUAAUAUUAAAAAAAUCACUUGAUGCAUAAUUCUCUUAAAAAAUGUUUAAAAAAGAAAAUCAUUGUCAAACACUUUUUAAGUGGUGUUUUAAACUUUGAUAGACACCAUUUAGUAUUUUCUUUAUGAUUAACUUCAUUUAUAUUUUAUUUUCGUUUCCAUUUUAUAAUACUACACUUGGAGAAACAAUGAGGGCUUGGAAUUAUUUGGAUCUACAAAAAAAAAAUGUUAUUUUAAUAAAUUAAUUUUAGCUUAUUUAAUAAGUGAAAUCAAGUGAUUAAAUCACAUUAAUUAAUUAACAUUGAAACAAUUCAUCCACCGAGAAAACAUCUUAUGAUUUAUGUUGAUUGUCAAAAUUCUUUAAAAAUAGUUUAAAAAACUAGUUUUUUUAAUAUAUAUAUAUAUAUAUAUAUAUAUAUAUAUAUAUAUAUAUAUAUAUAUAUAUAUAUAUAUUUAAAAUAAACGUCUUUUUGUGAACUUGAAAUAAUCUCAAUCUAUUUUACUCUAGUAUUUUAAAAUAUUUUUUAAAAAUCAUUUUAUCUAUUAUAUUUAAUUAUUUUUCAUACUUAUAUAAUUAUUAUUUUUUUACAAAAAACUUAAAAAAUAAAUGUAUAAAAUUAAAAUAUGUUCAUAAAUUAUUUUCAAAUCUAAAAGGGAAUUUUCAAUUUAAACCUCAACAAAAAUCUGUCUCAACCAUACUCUUUUUAAGGGUUUGGUUAUAGCAUCAAAAGGUAUUUUUUCGGUAUGGACACAAUCAUUUGAGUGAUGCUAUAUGUAUAAUUUUUAGUCUCGUUAAUUAUAGUUGGAUCUUAAUUAUUUGUAUGUUGUAGUAGGUGGCUCUUAUUGGAGAUUGUUGUGGGUAAACGAUAGGUUGGGGGGUGUGGGGGGCAACACCCCCGCGGUAUGAUUCAGGAGUAUUUUUGGAAUUUCAUUCUUAAGGGUUAGUAUAAAUACCUUUUUAUGUAAUCCUAGUUUAAUACAUAGUGAAAAUCCUCUUUCUUUGUUUCCGUGGACGUAGACAAUUAGCCAAACCAUGUUAAAUCUGUAUGUUCUUCUUUCUCGCUUUUCUUAUUUUUCGCCAUUAAAUUGUUGCACAGAUCACAACAAUUGGUAUCAGAGCCAAGUUGGGAUUGAUGUCUGGGAUUUCUUCUGCGAAGUUCGACAUGGUCAAGUUCGAUGGAUUUGGGAAUUUCAGCCUAUGGUAGAGGAGGGUUAAAGAUCUAUUAGUGCAACAAGGUAUGAUGAAGGCGUUAUACGGAAAGCAACCAGAAGGAAUGGACGACAUGGAUUGGAAGGAUUUGGAAGCGAAGGUUGCGACAACGAUCAGGCUUUGUUUGGCUGAUAACGUGAUGUACCAUGUCAUGGAUGAGGAGUCACCGACGACAAUCUGGUUGAAAUUAGAAAGUCGGUAUAUGUCCAAGUUGUUGAUGAACAAGUUGUAUCUUAAGCAGAAACUAUAUGGUCUUAAGAUGGCAGAGAGUUCAGAUCUAAGCCAACAUAUCAACGUGUUCAAUAAGAUCAUUAGUGAUUUGAAGCGAAUUGAUGUGAAGUUCGAAGACGAAGACAAGGCGUUGAUGUUACUGAAUUCCCUUCCUGCUUCUUCUAUGUAUGAAAAUCUGGUUAUAACUCUAAUGUGGGAGAAAAAAACUCUUGAUUUGGAGGAGAUCAUGAGCGUUCUUUUAGGAUUUAAUCAGAGAAAGAAAGCCAAUGAUGAGAGUUCUCAGGGUGAAGGGCUUGUGGUAAAGAAUAAUCAAGAACAUGGAAGAAACAAGUUCCGGAGUGAAUCGAGUAAUAAUAAAUAUCGAUCUAAAUCCAGGAAGAGAAAUGACAUACAAUGUUACAAGUGCGAAAAAAGGGGCACAUGAAACGAGAUUGUCCAGAGAAAAAGAAAGGAGGCUCAAUAUCAUAAAAUAAAGAGGGUUCAUCAAAGUUUGCUAAUGUAGUGGUAGAAGAAGACUUAGAGAGUAGUGGUGGUGAUAUGCUGUCAAUUUCAUCCAGUUCAGAUCAUCUUACAGAUUCUUGGAUCCUGGACUUAGGAUGCUCUUAUCAUAUGACACCCAAUAAAGAUUGGUUUAACACAUAUAGGUUAGUAAAUUUUGGUUCUGUUCUGAUGGGUAAUGACAUUUCAUGUAAAGUUACUAAAAUAGGGAAUAUCGGAAUUAAAAUGUUUGAUGGUGUUGUUAGAACGUUGUGUGAUGUUAGACAUAUACCUGAUUUAAGGAAGAAUCUGAUUUCUUUGGGGACUUUAGACUGUAACGAGUUUAGUUACAAGUCUACAAGUUGAGUAAUGAAGGUGAGCAAAGGUGCUAUGAUAGUGAUGAAAGGGCAGAAACUAGCAUGAAAUAUUUAUAAACUGUUAGGUACCACAAUUGUAGGUGGAGUUGCAACCGUAGAGUCUGAGUCAAAUAGUACAGUUUUGUGGCAUAUGCGGUUAGGGCAUAUGGGUGAGCGUGGGAUGAUGGAGCUUCAUAAGAGAAAUCUGUUGAAGGGCAUCAAAACAUGUAAACUUGAUUUCUGCAAGUAUUGUGUUUUUGGAAAACAUAAUAAAGUGCAGUUCAAGACAACCAUACACAAGACAGAGGCGGUUCUUAACUAUGUUCAUACAGAUGUUUGGGGACCAGUGAGGGUAGCAUCUUUGGGAGGAAGUAUGAAUUUUGUGAGUUUUAUUGACGAUUACUCAAGAAAGGUUUGGGUACUUCAUGCGACACAAGUCAGAAAUGUUUGCCAAGUUUAAGUUGUGGAAAGCUGAAGUAGAAAACUAGACAGGGAGAAAUAUAAAAUGUCUCAGGUUAGAUAAUGGUACUAAGUAUACAGAUUCAAAUUUCACAGAAUUGUGUGAGCAACAUGGGAUUAAGAGACACUUCACAGUACGCAAGACACCACAUUAGAAUGGUGUAAUAGAAAGGAUGAACAAAACAAUAGUUGAAAGAGCUCGAUGUCUCAUAUUGAAUGUAGGCCUUGAAAAGAAAUUUUGGACAGAAGCAGUCAACAUGGCAUGUUACUUGAUCAACAGGUCACCUAGAACAGCAUUGGAUGGGAAAGUAGUAGAGGAGGUAUGGACAGAUAGUCCGGUAGAUUACUCUAGUUUGAGAGUAUUUGGGUGCCCAACCUAUAUGCACAUUCCUAAUGAGAAGAGAUCAAAGCUUGAUGCAAAGUCUAGACAGUGUAUCUUUUUGGGGUAUCAGAAAAGGGUGAAAGACUUCAAGCUCUAGGAUCCAAAGGGAAACAAGGUGGUGAUCAGUAGAUAUGUGGUUUUUGAUGAGAAACCCAUGUUACAGUGUACUUAGAAAGGAGAGAAACAGGAACCAGAAAGUUGCAGCAGUAAUGAGAAGUUGAUACAGGUGGAAUUAAAGACUCAUGAUAUAGAAGAUCAUGCUCAGAAUGCAGGGAAGUCUAGUUUAGAAGAUCAACAACAUCACAGUAUAGUCAUGGAUAGACCUAGACGCACUAUUAAGCCAUCUAUCAGGUAUGGUUUUGAAGAUUUGGUUUCUUAUGCAUUGAUUACUAGUAGUGGGGAUCCUACUAUUUUUCAAAAGGCAAUACACAGUCAAGAGAAAAGUAGAUGGAUGGGUGUUAUGGUGGAGGAGAUUCAGUCUUUGCAUAAGAACCAGACAUAGGAUUUGGUGGAGCUUCUAGAGGGGAAGAGAGCAAUAGGAUGCAAAUGGGUGUACAAGAAGAAAGAAGCAGUUUCAGAAAAAGAUGGUGAAAAGUUCAAAGCUCGUUUAGUAGCAAAAGGUUACUCACGGAGGAAAGGGGUUGACUAUGAUGAGAUCUUCUCCCCCGUGGUUAGACACACUUCCAUCAGGACAGUGUUGGGUUUGGUAGCACAUUCUGACAUACAGUUGAAGCAAAUGGAUGUAAAGACAACUUUUCUUCAUGGUGAUUUGGAGGAGUUGGUCUAUAUGGUACAACCAAAAGGGUUUUAGUCAACCUGGACAAGAACACUUGGUCUGUAAAUUGAGGAAAUCACUUUAUGGGUUAAAGUAGUCUCCAAGGCAGUGGUACAAGCGUUUUAAGUCCUACAUGAUCAGGAUUGGCUACAAGAGAUGUGAGUAUGAUUGCUGUGUUUAUGUAAAGAGCCUAGAUGAUGAUUCAUCAUUUAUUUUUCUAUUACUCUAUGUGGAUGACAUGUUAAUUGCUACAAAGAGUAUGGUUGAGGUCAAUAAGCUGAAGUCCUUGUUGAGUAAGGAGUUUGACAUGAAGGACUUAAGUGCGGCCAAGAAGAUUCUUGGAAUGGAGAUUCACAAGGAUAGAGCUUCAGGGAGAUUAUGGUUAUCUCAGUAUAGCUAUGUCAAGAGAGUAUUGGAGAGGUUCAACAUGGAUGAUGCAAAACCAGUAAGUACACAUUUGGCAAAUCAUUUUAAGUUGUCUACUAAUCAAUGUCUAAAGACAGAUGAUGAAGUGAAAGACAUGUCAAAGGUUCCAUAUGCAAGUGCAGUGGGAUGCUUGAUGUAUGCUAUGGUUUGUACAAGACCAGAUUUGGCGCAUGCUAUUAGUGUGGUGAGCAAGUUUCUAUCAAAUCUGGGAAGAAUGCAUUGGGAUGCAGUCAAGUGGAUUUUUAGAUACUUAAGGGGUACUACAGACUAUGACAUCAAGUUCAACAAACAAUAGAGUGAUCCUUCAGUUAGAGGAUAUGUUGAUGCAGACUAUGCAGGAGACUUGGAUGACAGGAGGUCUACCACAGGUUAUGUAUUCACUCUUGGUGGGGGACCUAUUUGUUGGAAGUCUAUGAUACAGUCUUUAGUUGCACUAUCUACUACUGAGUUAAAAUAUAUGGCAAUAGCUGAGACUGCAAAGGAAUCAUAUGACUUAUAGGUUUGGUUAAGGAGUUGGGUAUUCAACAAGGUGGAGUUCAAUUAUAUUGUGAUAGUUAGAGUGCCAUUUAUUUGGCAAAGAACCAAGUGUAUCAUGCAAGGACCAAACACAUAGAUGUGAGGUUUUCACAAGAUCAGGGAAUUGGUUUCUUCUGGUGAAUUGUUAUUUGAGACGGUUCACACCUCUGAGAACGCAGCAAACAUGUUGACAAAGCCUGUUACCACAAAAAAGUUCAAGCAUUGCUUGAACUUGAUUAAUGUCUCUAGUUGCUGGAUGGGAGAUACCCCAACCUAUUGUCCCAGGGGGAGUUAUGAGCUAUGUUUCUUGUCUUCUAAGGGGGGAGUGAAUAUUUGCCAAGGUGGAGAUUGUUGUGGGUGAACGAUAGGUUGGGGGGUGUGGGGGGCAACGCCCCUUGCGGUAUGGUUCAGGGGUAUUUUUGGAAUUUCAUUCCUAAGGGUUAGUAUAAAUACCCUUUUAUGUAACCCUAAUUUGAUACAUAGUGAAAAUCCUUUUUCCCUGUUCCCGUGGACGUAGACAAUUAGUCAAACCACGUUAAAUCUACGUGUUCUUCUUUCUCGUUUUUCUUAUUUUUUGUCAUUAAAUUAUUGCACAGAUCACAACAUUGUAUUUUUAUAUUUUACUUUUAUUUUUUAAAAUAUUUAUUUAACGAUUUAAAUAAUGCUACAUCAUUUCCCAGCUCCUAAUUUCCACUUCGAGUCAUACUGUACAUCCGCACACCUUGAGAGUUCAGCGAAAGUUACUGCCAACGGAGAAACACUCCCCUUUCAAGUUAAAAAUUUUCCCAACUGUUGUUUCAACGCAUGCUUCCCUGUCUGAUAUACUAGGAAACGGGCAUACAAACGAGUGCCACGUGGAAGUGACAACUGAAAAUUGAUCUGAAAUGGCAAGAGAUGAAGUCAUCAAAGACUACGUCAGGCGUGCAACUUGAUUCAGACCCGCCGCCAUGCCCCAUUGACUCACGUGCAUUAAUCCCCUCCGGAAAAGUAUCAUCCCCCCAAGAACAAAUCCUAAGACAUCCUCCAUUACCAAUAGUUUCACCUUAUAAUUUCAUUUAUUUCCUUUUCCCUUAUUUUAAUUUCUCAGCCCCCACCAUUUUUUUUUUUCCUUUUUGGGUUUUUUAAAAUAUUUUUCUUCUAAAUUCUUCCUCUACUUCCUGUAUUUAUAGGGCUGGAUUUUCAAAUGUGGUCGAACCAAACUUUUGGUAACCAGGAAUACCAAGAAGAAGAACCAUAGCAUAGAACAUAGCCUUCAAUUCAAUGGAUUCUUCUUCCUUCUAUCAUCAAUACCAAAGUUCAGAAUUCUCACCUGAAUCCUCAUCGUUCGGUUCAUCGGAGUAUUUCUCGUCCUGGGACGAGCCUCUUUUCCACCACAAUUCACUUCCAUUCAACAUAAAUGACUCGGACGAGAUGAUACUAUUCGAUAUGCUAGCCGAGGGAGCUAGAGACUCGUCGGAGACAGCGUCAUCCGUCGGAGGAGCAGCCAAGGAGGAGGAGGUGACUUCCAAUGCUAAAGAGCCCACACCUAACAAGAAGGAGAAAGAGAAGACGUAUAGGGGUGUCAGGAAGCGGCCAUGGGGGAAGUUCGCGGCGGAGAUAAGGGACUCCACCAGGCAUGGGGUAAGGGUGUGGCUUGGUACAUUUGAUAGUGCCGAGGCUGCGGCUUUAGCAUAUGAUCAAGCAGCAUUUUCCAUGAGGGGGACCAUGGCGGUCCUCAAUUUCCCGGUGGAGCGCGUGGUGGAGUCCCUAAGGGACAUCAAGUACGCCUGCGAGGACGGCGGCUCCCCGGUGGUGGCGCUCAAGAGGAGGCACUCUAUGAGAAGAAAAUCAACUGGUCGGAAAAAUAAAAGCAAGGAGGUAAAGGCACAGAAUGUUGUGGUAUUAGAGAAUUUAGGAGCUGAUUAUUUGGAGCAACUCUUGUGUUCAUCAGAGAACCAUUGAUUCUUCUGGGUCAAUCAUGAAGAUUUCCAUAUUUCCUAAAUUUUUAUAUCUUCUUUCUUUUCUUGGUUCAAUUUUUCUUCUUCUGUGUUUAUGAUAAUCCUCUAGAGUUAAAAGCAUCCCUCUUCUGUUGAGAUGUAAUGAUGGGG
rnacentral:lncRNA from 1 species